CAGGGCUGUCUGUGGUGUUUUAUGUGCAGAUUAUUUGUGUUUCUUUUACAGGUCUUUGUCUCUUUCUCUGGCUUCCUGUACCAAUAUGUCAUUUCACUGUUCCCGGGGUGUGGAAGUGCUGUGGAGAGCUGAUGGCAAUUUAUUCUUCCCAUCAGAGAUGUCUUCCCUGAUUGUGCCAAACACAAGAGGAGAGGAGUCCUCUCUUUCACAGAUGUCUUAAGGACCUUACUAAGUCUCGCAUUCAGGCUCUUGGCCCUGACGAAGCAGAAGCUGCCUGCAGGCAGCUUUUGGACAGCUGGAUGAAGACAUCACUCGUCAAGCAUCAGCCCUCUCCAGGUGGCAUGGACCUUCAUUUGAAUUUCAGGAGACAUGAACAACAGCAGCAGCUUGUGAAGACAAUGCUUCUGUGAAAGG